rnacentral:misc_RNA from 1 species
GAUGAAGAACGUAGCGAAAUGCGAUAAGUAGUGUGAAUUGCAGAAUUCAGUGAAUCAUCGAAUCUUUGAACGCACAUUGCGCCCCUUGGUAUCCCGAGGGGCAUGCCUGUUCGAGCGUCAUUUCACCACUCAAGCCUGGCUUGGUGUUGGGCGACGUCCCCUUUGGGGACGCGCCUCGAAACGCUCGGCGGCGUGGCACCGGCUUUAAGCGUAGCAGAAUCUUUCGCUUUGGAAGUCGGGGCCCCGUCUGCCGGAAGACCUACUCGCAAGGUUGACCUCGGAUCAGGCAGGGAUACCCGCAGAACUUAAGCAUAUCAAUAAGCGGAGGA